GACAGAGGGUGCAAACGUUGUUCGGAUUUACUGGGCGUAAAGCGCGUGUAGGCGGCUCCGUAAGUUGGAUGUGAAAUCCCACGGCUCAACCGUGGACGUGCAUCCAAAACUACGUCGCUGGAGUCUCGGAGAGGAAGGUGGAAUGCUUGGUGUAGAGGUGAAAUUCGUAGAUAUCAAGCAGAACACCUGCGGCGAAGGCGGCCUUCUGGACGAUGACUGACGCUGAGACGCGAAAGCGUGGGGAGCAAACAGG
rnacentral:rRNA from 1 species